rnacentral:rRNA from 1 species
GUCUAUGGUCAUAUCACCCUGAAUGUGCCUGAUAUUGUCUGAUCUAAGAAGCUAAGCAGGGUCAGUCCUGAUUAGUACUUGGAUGGAAGAAAUGUUGAGGAGGGAAUAACAGAAGCUUUUUAAU